rnacentral:rRNA from 1 species
UACGAAGGGGGCUAGCGUUGUUCGGAAUUACUGGGCGUAAAGGGCGCGUAGGCGGCUCAUGAAGGCUGUGGUGAAAGUCCGGGGCUCAACCUCGGAUCGGCCGUGGCGACUCGUGGGCUGGAGCACUGUAGAGGCGGGUGGAAUUCCGGGUGUAGCGGUGGAAUGCGUAGAGAUCCGGAAGAACACCAGUGGCGAAGGCGGCCCGCUGGGCAGUGGCUGACGCUGAGGCGCGACAGCGUGGGGAGCAAACAGG